CAGAAAAUAGUUUAUUUAAAAACAUCAGCUUUGGGAGCUGGAGAGAGAGGUUUAAUCCUUUUUUUCUGA
rnacentral:tRNA from 1 species